UUUUAAAUGAAGACUAGAACAAAAGAUUUAACAUUCUAAUUUAUAUACUUAAUAUAAUAAUUGAAAUUAUUCAAAAUGUAAAAAAACAUUUAUUUACUAGAAAGACGACAAGACCCUAUUGAACUUAACUUUAGUUAAACUGGGGCAGUAAAUUAAUUAAUAUUUUAAUAUCAAUAUUUAAUUAAAUAUCCUAUUCAAUAGAAUAAUUCAGUUACCAUAGGGAUAACAGCGCAAUUAUAUUUUAAAGUUCUUAUAUAAAAAAUAGAUUACGACCUCGAUGUUGAAUUAAUAACCUAAUUAAGGCAAACCUUAAAAUAAGGAAGUCUGUUCGACUUUUAAACAAUUACAUGAUUUGAGUUCAGACCGGUGUAAGCCAGGUCGGUUUCUAUCUUCUAAAUAGUUUCUUACAGUACGAAAGGACCUAAAAAUAUUUUAAUUAAAAUUAAUUGGCAGAUAAAUGCAUUAGAAUUAGAAUCUAACCAAACUUCA
rnacentral:rRNA from 1 species